rnacentral:rRNA from 1 species
UUGACCUCGGAUCAGGUAGGGAUACCCGCUGAACUUAAGCAUAUCAAUAAGCGGAGGAAAAGAAACCAACAGGGAUUGCCCCAGUAACGGCGAGUGAAGCGGCAAGAGCUCAAAUUUGAAAGCUGGCUCCUUCGGGGUCCGCAUUGUAAUUUGCAGAGGAUGCUU